rnacentral:rRNA from 1 species
GUCCUUUUGAUUAUAAUUUAAGGUCUAGCCUGCCCACUGAAUAUUUGAAUGGCUGCAGUAUUUUGACUGUACUAAGGUAGCAUAAUCAUUAGUUUUUUAAUUGAAAGCUAGAAUGAAGGGUUGGAUGAGAAAAUUAGUGUCUUUAUAAAAAUAAUUUAGAAUUUUAUUUUUAAGUUAAAAAGCUUAAAUUUUUUUAAAAGACGAGAAGACCCUAUAGAGUUUUAUAAUUUAAUUUUAUUUAUAUUUAGAAUUUAUUAUAUAUUAUUUUUAAAUUAUUUAAUUGGGGCGAUUAAAAAAUUUAUUUAACUUUUUUUGUAUGUUUAUAUUAAUUUAUAAAUUAUUGAUCCAUGUAUUAUGAUUAUAAGAUAAAAUUACCUUAGGGAUAACAGCGUAAUUUUAUUAGAAAGUUCUUAUUGAUAAUAAAGA